GCCCAUCUUUCGGCCUGCCUGCUGGAAUGAUGCUCCGGAUUUGCCCCCACAGUCCAUCUAUUGCCUGAGCCUUUCGACUUCCUUGUGAACAAUUCCUUCCUCCAGUCCAAGCGCUUCGUCCUCACAAGCUCUCCCGUGCUGCACCCAGCGAGCCGGCCGACCGGGGCACGGAGCUCGACCACCCAAGGUCGAGAUGUCUGCUGCCGCUUCGAGCCCGAGGCCUUCCUCCAGAUGGGACUCCUGUUUGCUCCUCUUUCCUCUCUCUUUUGCCAGUUGAGUGGCGACGUCCUAUCGUUGUGGCCGUGGCACGAGUAGCCAAUCAUUAGUAUGUUCGUGUGCUUCGUUAGCUUUCCCCUCCAGCAUUCAGCGGCAACGCUCUCUCGUCUAGCUGAUGGCCUCGGUGCUACACUGGUACAUUGCUCGCGGCGCAUCGUGCCACUGCCACCUAGUGCUAUUUCCAUAUGCAUACUAUUUGUUCGACGGAUUGCCUUUAUAAAGCAAGCAUUGUUUUUUUGGCAUAACGUUUCUGCCUAAACCCUAAACUGCGUCUAAGUGUAAAGAAAGCGUGUUGUUAGUGUACUAAAUCAAAUUCUUUUUGCACAAAAAACUUGAAGGCUUGAAGCCCAGUACCAGAAGCAUCAUCUAAUCAUGGCACAUAUUGGGUUCUAUGACAAAGGAACAUGUAUAUAAGUAUAUCGAAUCACUUGAGGUCAACCGGUGAUAGUUUGGAUUCAUGAUAUUCAAAUCUUCAGCAAUCAAUCACGGUGCUAAUGAAACAGAACAUAAACCAAUGUAUACAACAUUUAUUUGGGACCUAAUGAUGGUGCACUUGGCUUUUUUCCGAUUCCUAGUCAAGCUGGAAUGCAUUAUUUCUUUCACAAUACAAGCUGCCAAAUAUUGGAUGUUCCUUUUGGAAGAUCCGGUGAAAUAUUGAUUUAGUUGUUCCACUUUAUGUUUUGAACUCAUGUGUUUUAAUUUUUAUGAAUAAAUUGCUGAAAUCAUGUGGCAGUUGGUUGUCAAUCGCUCUAGUUUGGCAAGCUCAGUCUAGCAAGAAAUCUGUUACUUUCAAGCCUUCACUACUGUUGCGCGUAAAAUUGCAAUGAUUUGAUGUAAAUGCUAUCCUUCUAGCUCCCUUUAUGUUUUUUUAAUUUUAUUUUAUUUUUUGAAAGGAGCCCCCUUGGAGUUUUGCUUGCGCUGUUAAGAAUUCCUGGGCAGAGUGCAGAACUGACCUUUCAUUUUUUGGUUUUUUUGCAGUAACUUCGAGGUUGAUUAUGGGUUUGAGGAACAGGCAUCCAUUGUCUAUAAAACAUUAGCCGCCGUUGACAAGGAGUUGCAACCUGACAAGGUCAAGAGAGAUGACUGUUUCUGACGGCAAGAUUUUCGUGUUAGUGUAUUUCCAUUCUGAAAUUUGUAACAGCUAUCUCUGCAUCGCUGCAUGAUGUUUUAAUAUUGAACUCUGAAUGAUUUAGACACUUUGAAGCGGUAGAGGCCCAGUUUCUGCGAGCAUCGUUUGGCGCAUUUGUAGAUCUUAUGGUGCUCGUGACCAAGCUUGUCGAGGAAUAUGGCGUGGCCGACUCUUCAUGAACAACCAUGUGAUGCAGAACUCGCCAGCAUUCAGAUUCUAUUUCUGUGAUUUGCUCUGUAAGGCAUAACGUACGACGAAUGCUGAUACCAAAAGCCUAUGACGCUGAAGCCCUACUUGUAAUGCUGCAUACUGAUAGAUAUGAAGAUCCAACAUUAUACUGUAAAAAAGCGUAUGCAAAGUUCACCUGAAAUCCAUGUAGCAUAAUGCAAAACCAUAACCAUGCACUUGCAUAGACUCAUGCAAAUAUAUGUGCUGUGAAAUUUAUGCAAA